UUCAAACACCGCUUUCUGUUCGAUCAGCGAUGUUAAGCAACGUCGAGCCCGGUCAGUACCUAGAUGAGUGUCCGCUUGGGAAUACCAUGUGCUGGAA